rnacentral:lncRNA from 1 species
AUUUGGCUCUCCUACACAUCGCUGGCCACCCAGUGAGAGCUGGGACUUCGGCUUGGAGACUUUGCGCUCCUUCUUGGGGACGUCCUGCACGGGAGAGCAUGCCCUCUCCAGGCACAGCUUCUUGGGGAAGCAAUGCUGGGAGCCGGAGGUCUGGGCUGAGGGGUAUUUACAUCAAAGGCAACAUUCACUGAAGGGUGGCUGGUGAAGACUCGGGUUCAUCAUCUCCACAGGGGCUGGGCUCUCAAAAACCAGGCGGCUGACCGGCUCAUUGGUCUCCGGAGGCAGGCUCAAGGUUUCCUGGAGGAUCAUCGGCUUCUUUCUUAGGCUGGUGAUCUCCUUGUCAGCACUCUGUAAGUCCUUCUGGGCUGACCUCAGUUCUAACUUGGCCUGAUCCAGCUCAGUGUUGAGAGUCUUCAACUUGCUCCUAGAGAACACCAAAUCCUUUUUCAACCUGUCAGCCAGCUCCCCUGAGGCCUUCCAAGCUUCCUUCAGAUUCUCAUACUCUUUCUUGAGGGACGCGCAGUACACAGCCAGCUGCUCCACGGCUGACUGUCCCACACCUAUGUCUCGGAUCAUCUCCUCCACCUCAGACCGCUGGCUCAUGGAGCUCAAUUUGCUCCAUGGUUUUUCAUCUUGCACUUGAGUCGGUGGGCCUCCUGCCGCUGCUCCAGGAACUUCAUUUGUUUUUUCAGGGUGGAACAUAGCAUCUCUGCCUUGUUUAAGGCGUUCUGCAGGGACUCCACAGUGGCAUUGCGUUCUUCCAGGGUGUCCCGUAGAGUGUCGAUAAUGGCCUGGCUGUCCCAUUUCUCCCUGUCUUUCUGGGAAAGCUGAGCUUCGACACUCUCCAGUUCAUUCUUUAAGAAUUCUACAUCCAAGACACUCUCCUCUUCCUGGGCGAGGUUGAAGAAAAGCUUGUUUAUAAUAGUCUUUUUGCCAACCUGGAUUCUAUCCUGUGGGCGGGUCCGACUUGGUGCUGUCUCAGACCACUGGAUUAGGCAUUGCUGAUGAAAAGUGUGGCCACAGUGGAUGGCAGCCAUGUCACGGGAGUGAUCGAAGAAGUCGGAGCAGAUAGUGCACAGAGCGCCGAUAGGCAUGAUGGCUCGACUCAAGCAGCCCAGAAAGCCAGCUGCCGACGACAGACACAGUUUGGUGGCCGAACCCGCCGCCGCUCUGGUUCCUUCAAAUUUUGCUCCACCGCACGACUUCUGAUAGUGAACCAGAAGGAAUAACAAACCCACGCCCGAGUGCUUCCCUCUGAUUGGACAAACUUCUAGGCAAGCAUUAUUAUCCUCCUCUUUCUGAACCAAAUCCAGACGAGGAUCUAAUCGGAUAGUUCCCCGAUCCUUGGCUGGCCUCAAACUUCAAAGAUGGCUCUGGAUUUCUGAUCCUCCUGACUGAUUCUACCUGGAACUGAAGGCUUGCACCACAGUGAGAUGUGUUAAGGAUCAAAGUCGGCCUCACACACACGAGGCCAGCACUCUACCAACUGAGCUACCUUCUGGCCUCUGUAAGCUUAAAUUCUUGUCAUAUCGUUUUGUUUAAAGUGCUUUGUGGUUGCAGAUUUCUGAGUGUGAGGGCUGGCAUUUCACCAUACAACUUGGAUAUGACCCACGACGCCUAUUGCUGUUGGCUCUGACCUGGAACGGAAUGCUAGUGAUGUUAAUUUCAUGGGUUCUGAGCAAUAAGCAGUUCUCCCUGGGUUUGAGAAUCAGGAUGGUCACCUAAGUAGUGUAACAACGAGACCCGGUGUGUCCUGGUCUUCCCAUCUCCCUUCAUGGCCCCAAACCAUGCAGUUGGGCUCCCAUGUGCUAGGUCUCAUUUCUAUUUCCAAGUUACAGUUUCAGCGGAGAGGAGGAGAAGAGACCCUUGUUGACGGCUCUCAGAGAUGCUUAAAAUAUAUUUCACUUUCUAAAUUGGUAAAAAGGAUUCAAAUAAACAUACUCUUCCUACAAAGAAUCACAACAGGAAAACCCAAACAAAACCACACAAAAUUCCCCCAGUAAGUGGCAUUUUCCUGUUAUCCUGAAAUUGCAACAGAAUACCGAACCUCCAGUGUCAAGAACAAGCAUUUCCCGUCCCUUAACAUUUUACAUUUAGUAAGUUCACACACACACACACACACACACACACACACACACACACACACACACACGAAAGAGAGACAGAGACAGAGACAAAGACAGAGAGGCUGCACCCACCACUACUCUCCCUUCUAUAGCUUUCUGAGGCUGAGUCACACUCCCACUGCAUAUGCAAACUGAAGCUUAUCUAUCAAUCUGCGGAAGGACUUUUGUUUUUUCCCACCUUUUGACCAUUGUGAAGGAGAAUAUAUAAACAUUGCACAUUGCUGAACAAGUAACUUUUGUUUCCCCUCUUUACGGCUUUGGGUAUCUGCCCAGAAGCGAAACUGCCUAGGUACAGGUACACAUGAUGUUUCAUUUUUUGAGGACCCCAUCCCCCAAACACACACACCAUCACCUGGCACAGACAAGCCUUUUUACAUUGCCACCAGGAUGUGAAGGGUCCAACUUCCUGCAGGCCUUGCCAGUAUUGAUUGCUCUCCUUACAAAUAAAGAAUAAAAAGUUGAGGCUGAAUCUUAACAACAGGAUGGGGACUGGUGCGACCGUAAGAACUUAGCAACUGUUCAUUUGUGCAGUCUGAUCACUGAUGUGUGGAAAUGGGAAUUUGUUGGGAAUUUUCUGGAGACAAGAUAUGGAAACAAUAAAACAAU